ACAGGGGGUCUUCUCUCUUGGCUUUGGAGCUCCCCAUUCCUCUGUGUCUGUAACAGGGGAGCUUCUUCCUUCUUUCUUCUCCCUUCUUUCUUGCCUGUUAAACUCUCUGCUUCUUAAAACCACUCCAUGUAUGUCCAGGUCAUUUUAUCUAAUUUGGAGACGGAGAACCCUGGUGUUCCUCUGCUCAUCAGAGCCGUCUCACCUGCAAGGGCCAGGAUCCAGCACUAGGGCUGCCCUUUAUGUUCAUGCAGCCUCCACUAGGAAGAUCCUCCUUAGCUGCCACCUGCUGUAAAGGGAUCUAUCUAUCUAUCUGUCUAUCUAUCUAUCUAUCUAUCUUUCUAUCUACCUGUCGAGAGAGAGAGAGGUUUAUUAUAAGGAAUUGACUCAUGUGAUUAUGGAGGCUGAGAAGUUCCACAGUCUGCUGUCUGCAAGCUGGAGACCCAGGAAGGCUGCUGGUGCCGUUCCAGUUUGAUUCUGAAGGCCUGAGAACCAGAACUGAUGCCCACUCAACAUGAAGAUGACAAGGAUGAAGACCUUUAUGAUGAUCCAUUCCCACUUACUGAAUAAUAUCAAGCAUUUUAUUCAACUAUGGAAUGGAAGCAACAGAUUACAGCAGCAUUAACAAGACCUGGGAUACCAUCACCAAUCAAAAUCAUGGAUAUUUCAUAGCACAAGAACGUUGUUUCAGAAUCUCAAAGUACUCCUCCUACUCAACAUGACUUUGAAAUUGCAAUAGUUGUUAGAACGGUCACUGCAGUUUGAUAUAUGAUGUGUUUACAAAGAGGCACAUAUAUUGCUCUUUCAGAAUUAUAACUCUGUAUGCAUUUCAAUGUAAUUGGUUUCCUUUGUCAUCUUCUGAAUUUUAUGUAUUUAAAAAUAUUAUUCUGAUGUUAAUACACAACAAAGAAAGGAUAGAAUUUUCAAUAAAUGGUGUUGGGGAAAUUGGAUAUCCAUAUACAAAAAAUAAAAAUAAAAUUGGAUUCUUAUCUUAAACCCUACACAAAAAUUAACUCAAAA
ensembl:lncRNA ETS2-AS1 ETS2 antisense RNA 1